rnacentral:rRNA from 1 species
UACGUAGGGGCCUAGCGUUGUCCGGAUUUAUUGGGCGUAAAGAGCUCGUAGGCGGUUCGGUAAGUCAGGUGUGAAAUCUCCACGCUCAACGUGGAGGCGCCACCUGAAACUACCGUGACUCGAGUCCGGUAGGGGAGUGUGGAAUUCCCGGUGUAGCGGUGAAAUGCGCAGAUAUCGGGAGGAACACCAGUGGCGAAGGCGACUUCCUGGCCUGUUCUUGACGCUGAGGCGCGAAAGCUAGGGUAGCAAACGGG